rfam:Alligator mississippiensis ScZkoYb_56, whole genome shotgun sequence.
UCCAAGUCUUAAAGGAAGAAACAGCUUUCAAGUGCCUUUCGCAGUUGUUUUUUUUUUUUGUUUUUUUUUUGUUUUUUUUAUAAGAGCGCAAGAUUGUAA